AAACAGCGUUUGACAUGCUUCGUAGUACGGUAAUGGAAUAUUUGGAAAUUUUUUGUCACGAAAUGCGCUCGCACGUCACCCUUUGGAUUGUGACCUGAACGCACGAACAAAACGGAGGUAUUUGAAUAUAACUAUGGAUUAUUUGGAACCAAAACAACAUUUGUUGUUGAAGUAGAAGUCCUGGGAGUGCAUUCUGACGAAGAACAGCAAAGAUUCUUCAAAUAGCCACCCUUUGCCUUGAAGACAGCUUUGCACACUCUUGGAAUUCUCUCAACCAGCUUCAUGAGGUUUUAUCUGGACAUGGUUCGUCAGGACUUCAAACAGCCGAAGCUAAGUAACAUUAACAUGAUGCCUUCUAAUUGCAGUCGUUGUACUUAUAAUAUACAGGAGAACGAUCGCCUUACGGCAAGGAUAGCUGUGCUGCAAGCCCAGCUUCAGACGCGAUCGUUAGGCAAGGGUAAUUUCAGUGUAGGAAAGGAUGAAACAGCGUCUGUGCCACCAGACCUGAGCCCUAGGACCAUGCCUCAGGACUACCUGGUAUGAUGACUCCUUGCUGUCCCCAGUCCACCUGGCCGUGCUGCUGCUCCAGUUUCAACUGUUCUGCCUGCGGCUAUGGAACCCUGACCUGUUCACCGGACGUGCUUGUUGCACCCUCGACAACUACUAUGAUUAUUAUUAUUUGACCAUGCUGGUCAUUUAUGAACAUUUUAACAUUUUAACAUUUUGACCAUGUUCUGUUUUAAUAUCCACCCUGCACAGCCAGAAGAGGACUGGCCACCCC
rnacentral:lncRNA from 1 species